AAAGCCCCUUGCUCAACCAGGGAGGGUCAUUGGAAACUGGAGAACUUGAGUGCAGAAGAGGAAAGUGGAAUUUCCAUGUGUAGCGGUGAAAUGCGUAGAUAUAUGGAGGAACACCAGUGGCGAAGGCGACUUUCUGGUCUGUAACUGACGCUGAGGCUCGAAAGCAUGGGGAGCAAACAGGAUUAGAUACCCUGGUAGUCCAUGCCGUAAACGAUGAGUGCUAAGUGUUGGAGGGUUUCCGCCCUUCAGUGCUGCAGCUAACGCAUUAAGCACUCCGCCUGGGGAGUACGACCGCAAGGUUGAAACUCAAAGGAAUUGACGGGGGCCCGCACAAGCGGUGGAGCAUGUGGUUUAAUUCGAAGCAACGCGAAGAACCUUACCAGGUCUUGACAUCCUUUGACCACUCUAGAGAUAGAGCUUUCCCUUCGGGGACAAAGUGACAGGUGGUGCAUGGUUGUCGUCAGCUCGUGUCGUGAGAUGUUGGGUUAAGUCCCGCAACGAGCGCAACCCUUAUUAUUAGUUGCCAGCAUUCAGUUGGGCACUCUAGUGAGACUGCCGGUGAUAAACCGGAGGAAGGUGGGGAUGACGUCAAAUCAUCAUGCCCCUUAUGACCUGGGCUACACACGUGCUACAAUGGAUGGUACAACGAGCAGUUAACCCGCGAGGGUAUGCGAAUCUCUUAAAGCCAUUCUCAGUUCGGAUUGCAGGCUGCAACUCGCCUGCAUGAAGCCGGAAUCGCUAGUAAUCGCGGAUCAGCACGCCGCGGUGAAUACGUUCCCGGGUCUUGUACACACCGCCCGUCACACCACGAGAGUUUGUAACACCCGAAGCCGGUGGCCUAACCCUUUUAGGGAGGGAGCCGUCGAAGGUGGGAUAGAUGAUUGGGGUG
rnacentral:rRNA from 1 species